UGAAGUUGCCUUUCUGACACCGACAGGAAGAGGUGGGCUCUGUGGCUCUGUCAGCAGACGUCAAGAACCAGCUCCGCCUUCAUCCAAAGAUGGUAGCGGGCACGGAAGGCCACAAGACGAGCAUAGUAGGCUGGCGCAGGGAUGGAGACAGAGCGGGUACAACGCACUUGCAUUCCCAGGUCAAGGCCUGUGGCAGUAGCCUGGUAUGAAUGGCUCACACGAGGUUACAACUCGAACAGCAGCUCGAACAGAAUCUCACC